rnacentral:rRNA from 1 species
GACGUAGGGGGCGAGCGUUUGUCCGGAUUUAUUGGGCGUAAAGCGUGCGUAGGCGGCUGCGCAAGUCGGGUGUGAAACCCCGGGGCUCAACCCCGGAACUGCAUCCGAUACUGCGUGGCUAGAGGUAGGUAGGGGAGAUCGGAAUUCCUGGUGUAGCGGUGAAAUGCGCAGAUAUCAGGAGGAACACCGGUGGCGAAGGCGGAUCUCUGGGCCAUUACUGACGCUGAGGAGCGAAAGCGUGGGGAGCGAACAGG